rnacentral:rRNA from 1 species
UACGGGGGGCAGCAGUGGGGACUAUUGCACAAUGGGCGCAAGCCUGAUGCAGCCAUGCCGCGUGUGUGAAGAAGGCCUUCGGGUUGUAAAGCACUUUCAGCGGGGAGGAAGGCGGUGAGGUUAAUAACCUCAUCGAUUGACGUUACCGCAGAAGAAGCACCGGCUAACUCCGUGCCAGCAGCCGCGGUAAUACGGAGGGUGCAAGCGUUAAUCGGAAUUACUGGGCGUAAAGCGCACGCAGGCGGUCUGUCAAGUCGGAUGUGAAAUCCCCGGGCUCAACCUGGGAACUGCAUUCGAAACUGGCAGGCUAGAGUCUUGUAGAGGGGGGUAGAAUUCCAGGUGUAGCGGUGAAAUGCGUAGAGAUCUGGAGGAAUACCGGUGGCGAAGGCGGCCCCCUGGACAAAGACUGACGCUCAGGUGCGAAAGCGUGGGGAGCAAACAGGAUUAGAUACCCUAGUAGUC